rnacentral:rRNA from 1 species
GACGAACGCUGGCGGCGUGCUUAACACAUGCAAGUCGAACGGAAAGGCCCUGCUUUUGUGGGGUGCUCGAUUGGCGAACGGGUGAGUAACACGUGAGUAACCUGCCCUUGACUGUGGGAUAACUUCAGGAAACUGGGGCUAAUACCGGAUAGGAGCUCCUGCUGCAUGGUGGGGGUUGGAAAGUUUCGGCGGUUGGGGAUGGACUCGCGGGUUAUCAGCUUGUUGGUGUGGUAGGGGCUUACCAAGGCUUUGACGGGUAGCCGGCCUGAGAGGGGGGCCGGCCACCUGAGUACUGCGAUACGGACCAGACUCGUACGGGAGGCAGCAGUGGAGAAUAUUGCACAAUGGGCGGAAGCCUGAUGCAGCAACGCCGCGUGCGGGAUGACGUGCUUCGGGUUGUAAACCGCUUUCGCCUGUGACGAAGCGUGAGUGACGGUAAUGGGUAAAGAAGCACCGGCUAACUACGUG